GCUCUGGAGCCUAUUCUUCUGGCUAUAUACGUGUGUCCGGAUCAGGUGGAGCGAGCUCUGAAAGCUAGGUUCCACGAUGUGGUGACCGUACUCGGACCGCACUACAAGGAGCUCAAACUGCUCAUUGGAAUAUUUCCUGAUGACAGUGGAUCACUCUAUGCGCGUCUGCGAGAUCGACCUCGGGCUGAUAUCUCAGUUUAUCUGACCAAGCAACUGUUUAAGAUGAACAAGCAGAUCCUGGCAAACCUUGCUCUAAAGAUCAAUGCCAAGGUUGUGGAAGGAACACUUUACUGGCUGAUGCGGUGUCGAGGUGCAUCCCUUUGGUCACUGACAUGCCGAUGAUCAUAUUUGGCACCGAUGUUACCCAUCCCCACCCUGGUGAAGACAGUAGCCCUUCCAUUGCUGCAGUUGUGGCCUCCCAGAAUUCACGUGAGGUGACUAAGUAUGCCGGCAUGGUCCCUGCUCAAGCUCACUGGCAAAAUUUGAUGGAGUAUCUGUGCAAUGUCACCCAUGAUCCUACUUUUUGUCGCCUAAGGGAUGGUGUCAGUGAAGGCUAGUUCUACCAAGUUCUACUGCAUGAGCUCGACGCCAUCCGAAAGGCAUGCGCGUCACUGGAGGCGAACUACCAGCCUCAGGUCACGUUCAUCGUGGUACCGAAGCGCCACCACACCAGGCUGUUUGUGCACAACCACAACGAUCAGAACAAAGUCGACCACGCGGGAACAUCCUUCCAUCUAAUUGUUAAUAGAUGGGAGCGGUGGCCUUAUGGAACACAACCUGCAGCAGCAGCGAUAGGAGCUGCAGCAGGUCGAGAUCGACAUCCGCCUACCCACGGAUCAUCUGGGUACAG